rnacentral:tRNA from 1 species
GGCAUGGUAGCAUAGUGGUAAGGAGCAGGGCUUGUAACCAAAAGGUUGCCGGUUCGAUUCCCCACUGGGGCA